UUACCUACUCUUGACAUCCAGAGAACUUAGCAGAGAUGCUUUGGUGCCUUCGGGAACUCUGAGACAGGUGCUGCAUGGCUGUCGUCAGCUCGUGUUGUGAAAUGUUGGGUUAAGUCCCGCAACGAGCGCAACCCUUAUCCUUUGUUGCCAGCGGUUAGGCCGGGAACUCAAAGGAGACUGCCAGUGAUAAACUGGAGGAAGGUGGGGAUGACGUCAAGUCAUCAUGGCCCUUACGAGUAGGGCUACACACGUGCUACAAUGGCGCAUACAAAGAGAAGCGACCUCGCGAGAGCAAGCGGACCUCAUAAAUUGCGUCGUAGUCCGGAUUGGAGUCUGCAACUCGACUCCAUGAAGUCGGAAUCGCUAGUAAUCGUAG
rnacentral:rRNA from 1 species